rnacentral:rRNA from 1 species
GACGAACGCUGGCGGCGUGCUUAACACAUGCAAGUCGAACGGUGAAGUAGAGCUUGCUCUAUGGAUCAGUGGCGAACGGGUGAGUAACACGUGGGCAACCUGCCCCAGACUCUGGGAUAACUCCUCGAAAGAGGGGCAAAUACCGGAUAUUUGCAUUGCAAGACAUCUUGUGAUGCAGAAAGAAUUUCGGUCUGGGAUGGGCCCGCGGCCUAUCAGCUUGUUGGUGAGGUAACGGCUCACCAAGGCGACGACGGGUAGCCGGCCUGAGAGGGCGACCGGCCACACUGGGACUGAGACACGGCCCAGACUCCUACGGGAGGCAGCAGUGGGGAAUAUUGGGCAAUGGGCGCAAGCCUGACCCAGCAACGCCGCGUGAGGGAUGAAGGUCCUCGGAUUGUAAACCUCUUUCAGCAGGGACGAAGCGAAAGUGACGGUACCUGCAGAAGAAGCACCGGCUAACUACGUGCCAGCAGCCGCCGCGG